ACAGGUGGAGAAACUGAAGCAUAGAGGGAAGAAACACUGUUUAUAUGGCAUGCCACUGACAGAAGGGACUGCAAAUGUUGUUGCCUGGACACCAUGCUAUCUUAGACUGAAGGAGCUCUCAUCAGUUUCUAAAUCAGUGCAUUACAGCCAAAUCCUUUCCUAUCAUGGAUGUGUCUUCAUCUUCAUUUUGUUGUCUA